CUGUGAUUCUGACACCAGUAGAGUUCCUCCAUAGUGGACAAGAUGGUUUCACUACACAGAUACACCUUCAACUCAGCAGUGACUGUUCCACCUCCAGGAAAGGAAGACCUUGAAAUGCUCCAGGACAAACAAGUUUCACUGAAGCACAGCAUCCUGAAAUCAAAGGUGGUAAGAAUAGGAAUAGCUGAAUCUGUACAUUUCUACAUCAUUUUACAGGAUGGACGGGUCUGCCUGAGAGGCAACCCUACAUAGCACAAGUUCUGGCUCAUUCUAAGAGAGCCUCAUCCUUUGUUUAUCCUUUCUUAUGGACUGUGGCAUCAUUGUUGAACGGGCUCUUGUGGGCUGCAUGAGUGGAUGUACCCACCCAUAGGCUCUGAGACCCUCUGCAGCACUCAAGAAAGAAGACACACUGCCACAUUUCAUCACUGCCACACACUUGCAUCUAUGGGAAGAAGCACAGUGUGGCAGAAAGAGUUUGCACUUGAGGCAGACAGAGCUAUGAAGAUCCCAGCCCUGCCAUUUGCCACUGAAAGGCCAUGAACAAGUUCUAUCCACUGAAGUUAUGACAGAGAAAUGAACACCGAAGACUGAGAUGUCCUCAGUGAGGAAGGAAAGACUGUAAAGUAAUCUCUCUACCCCUCUUCAAAUUAGGGAAGUCUUCCUGAUCCUGUCUUAUUGAUUCGAAGAAAAAAAAAUCUUUGGGCAUCAAAAUAAACAUACAAAAAGCAGUAGGCCCAUUCAAGAUGAUUCAAGAUGUCCCUUCAGUAAUCACUACACAAACAGUGCAUCUGGAUGCCAAAGCCAACAUUUUAAAAAAAUAUUUACUUAUGGGAUCCCUGGGUGGCACAGCGGUUU